CAAUGAACUUCAGGUGUUUAGCCAUGACUUUACUUUCAAAUCUUCAUUCUCCAGGACCUACAGACUGGACAAGAGGCAUGGAAACCGGAAAAUCAGUAAGAAACCGAAGCCAGAGUCACAUUUUACCACAGGGACCUGGAGGCCACGCGAAAUACUGUCCUCCCUCCACACGCGCUUGGCCAAUCCCCCCCGAAAUUUCCUUACCUACGGCCUCAGCACUCAGGACUCCAGGACGCUCCGGACCGGAAGCGGAAGCUACGGAAUCCCCGAGGCAGGAGGAAGCGCGCUGAAGGGCGCAGACUGCUGCGGAAGCCGUGGCUGCGGUCUGUCCUUGUGAAGGUUCGCUUCUGAGCGCAGGCGUUGAACUCUACGCCUGACAAAGUCAAGGAACCUGCGUCCUCGCCAGUUUAGGUAUGGAGUCGCGGUCCUUGGGUCUGCGAGAAGGUCAGAAGAUCCGUAGCUCUAAUCCCGCUAAAGCCUUACUAGAUCUGAGCGAUUUCGUUUUCUGGGUGGGAAAUGGGAAGCGUCUUGAGAAUGUUCUGUAUUUUAAAAGGACAGAUCCGCGCAGCACUCGAGAAGCAGAGGCAGGCGGAUUUCUGUGAGUUCGAGGCCAGCCUGGUCGACAAAGCUACAGGAGAAACCCUGUUUCUCUCAAAGUUAAGAAACAGAAAUUACAUACUGUGAGUUUCCCAUUUCAUCAUCCACUAAAUUUCAUAAAUAAAAUGGAAUCACUAAA